UUCAUCAUGUUGCACCGUUAAGACUUGCGGUUUCUUCCAAAGAAAUCAGCCAGGAAUUAGAUGAACUUCUGCUCUAUCCUCUGUACUUGUGAAAGCAGAAUAUCCACAUACUCAGCUAUUAGAUUCCUUACUACGUGCUUUCUUUCCUGGAAUUCUUUCAAGCAAAGGAAUCGCAAUGUAAUUUUAUAUAUCCAGUGGAAAUCUGACCGAAGAUAAGGCAUAAUGUUGAAGUCUCAGUUCUAAAGGAUAAAGUCGUUCAUCAGUGGGAGAAGGCAAUUAUGUGCAGAGGUGAAGACUCUCCUGUUGGGACAAAAGACUCUGCAAGCUGGAAACCAGUUGUUUCAAAGCCUGUUCCUCCAGGAGGAACAACAAUGCCAAGAAAAUUAUCUUAAUGGUUUUUUUCCUCAUGUUUGGGUCCACACAAUUCUAUCCUAGCUACAUUUACUGGCAAACUUACUAAACAAACAAGGCUGCCCAAACUCUC